UACAUAUUACUGAUUUAGCACAAUGUGCGUUGCGUUAAGGUAGGACAUGACAAUGGCUGCUACUGCAGAUUACAGUGUGACUGUCUACCAAGGCACGUGGUCAACCGCACAGAAUGACGACGCAAAAUUUCGUAUACGUAUUGUUCUUGCAGUCAUUCUAUAUGCUAUAUAUUCACCGAAGACGCCUUACUGUAACUUAAUCGCUUACUGUUCGGUGCAUGUCAGUAUAGUAAAGAACGCUGCCAGUGCUACUGCAAUGUGUAGAGCACAUAUAAUUAAAGCAUAUCUGGUCGCCCACAUCAUUCUUCAGUGGUACUCGGCAAGCGCCCAAUCUAGAGCGAGCGCUUGUCUAGAGACGCCCACAGUGGAAAACUGCAGUCUUGUCCGCCUCAAGUGGAGCUUCAACGCUCAAUUAGGAAGAUGUGAAAGAAAUUACGUCUGUUCAAACCACCCUAAUGCUUUCCAAGAUGAAGCUUCGUGCAUGGCAAUGUGCCCUUCAGUUACAGAUAACGCACCUCUACCAAGAGAUGACUGCUCGUAUUGGAUUCAACAUUUAGACCAAUGCGAGUUCAAACGAGAGACGUUCUACCCGGACCCGCAAGGGCGAAGACAGCGUGUAUUGCUGUACAGGUUCUGUGGAGAAGGAAACACGAAAUUAUACGCUUACUACUUCAUAAGUGGCGAAUGUUCAGGUAAGCAAAUAUUGCGCGAAAGCAUCGGCCGCGAAGGGGUUAAGU
rnacentral:lncRNA from 1 species